CUUGAAUUAAACUUUGUGUAUCACGGUGAUAAAUUCUACUGUUUUACGUUUUACUUAUUCAGUUGUGGUCUAUAUAAAGUGGAACAGCGAUGCUUUUGUCUGAAUUUCUCGUUUUGAUAUCAUCGCAGGUCCCUCUUUUCUACUUGUUCUGAGGUGCAGCUCAGAGCAAGCCGUUUUGGUGCAGUCUCUUUAAAUGCAAAUGAGAUACUUCACACCCUCCACGCCGCAAGAUGUGCGCCUCCCUUUCCAGUCGACAUAUUUGUAGUUUUUUAGCCAAGGUAGCUUUUACUUACGCCGCAAACUUUUCGAUUGAUUAAAACAGUGGUCCCCAAC